UUCUUUAGGAAUUUCUCAGAACCCAGAAUGGAACUUGAUUCUCCUGUGGAGAAGGAAACUCAAAGUUGUCUUAAGUUUCCACUCCAACAGCGAAAGUGCUUAUAAAAACGAAACUCCCACGCUCUACAGACCCCAGAGUUCUGAGCCAAGCCCUACCCCCGCCCCUCUCCUCGCUCCCAGGCCUAGCUUCCUGUCCUCCAGCUGCUUUUCCUGAUAUUGGGAGAGCUUUUUUGUUGGCUGCGCCUCAUGGUAUGUGGUAUCUUAGGUUUGCAACCAGGGAUGAAACCAACUUGAGCUGCGGUGAAAGUGUGGUGUCUUAACCCCAGCACCACCAGGCAAGUCCUCUGGGAGAACUUUAAAACUAAGAAUUUGCUCUGCAGAGAAUUUGGUUGUACACGGUGACUCCUUCUGUCUCUAGUUCGCUGCAGGAUUUACAGCCUCAGCGUUGACUCCAGAUUCAGCCCUUGCCGUCUUGCUCCCCACCUUGAGAGCAGCAGCACCAAAAAUAGCAGCAUGAGUCACUGAAGCAUCGGGCAUCGUCGUCAAGGGCCAGGACGCCUGCUGCGGUGGAGCUUCUGCUUGAGUUCCAGGGACCUGGGGAAGGGAACCCUGGCCAGCUGGCCCCCAUCACUGCCUCCUGGACCCUGGGGGAGAGCUGAGUUCACUAAGAAAUUUGAAGCCUGAACUGGUGGAAAUGUUAAUGUUCAGAAUGGCUUUACCAUGACACUGCAUAAGGACCUCAGGGUCCCUCAUUUGCACCCCUUCUAAAGUUCUAUACUUUUUUUUUUUUUACUGUAUUUUAGUUUUCUUUUCUGAAAGAGGGCUCUCAAAGUUUUAUGUUUCAGGUCUGAGAAAACAAGCAUGGGUUAAUUUUGUUUAAUUCUCAUUGUGACCUUGGGAAACCAUUGGCUUCUCUAUUUACAGACAAAGGAUACGAGAGCAGAGAAAAGCCUUCCUUGGGUUCCUGGAAAAUUCCAGCAUUCACCACUCCAGAAUUAUCUUCAUUUGUGCAUCUACUUUUUUAACAAAUGCUUAUGGUACCUGUCCUGCCUUUCGCAAGAGGGCAACGAUUUUAAGAACCGCCCAGGACGCCGCCAGUAGGUGAUCAAGCACCUCAGUGAGGUCUUUUGUUUCCUUCAUCCCUUUACCUGCGAAUAACGGAGGCAGAGACCCUU